rnacentral:rRNA from 1 species
UACGUAGGGUGCGAGCGUUGUCCGGAAUUACUGGGCGUAAAGAGCUCGUAGGUGGUUUGUCGCGUUGUUCGUGAAAACUCACAGCUUAACUGUGGGCGUGCGGGCGAUACGGGCAGACUGGAGUACUGUAGGGGAGACUGGAAUUCCUGGUGUAGCGGUGGAAUGCGCAGAUAUCAGGAGGAACACCGGUGGCGAAGGCGGUUCUCGUGGGCAGUUACCUGACGCUGAGGAGCGAAAGUGUGGGGAGCGAACAGGA